UACGAAGGGGGCUAGCGUUGCUCGGAAUCACUGGGCGUAAAGCGCACGUAGGCGGCUUUCUAAGUCAGGGGUGAAAUCCUGGAGCUCAACUCCAGAACUGCCUUUGAUACUGGAAAGCUUGAGUUCGGGAGAGGUGAGUGAAACUGCGAGUGUAGAGGUGAAAUUCGUAGAUAUUCGCAAGAACACCAGUGGCGAAGGCGGCUCACUGGCCCGAUACUGACGCUGAGGUGCGAAAGCGUGGGGAGCAAACAGG
rnacentral:rRNA from 1 species